rnacentral:lncRNA from 10 species
AUGAAUUUACUCAGGAUGAGGGCAGGAAUUCAGGUGAAGGAGAAAGACUGUAAGCCAAGUGUCAAAGUCUUUAACAUCUUUAAUAAAUUAAGUCUUGAAAGACUAUGAAUAUGCUAAGUACAGGGGAGCAGAUAUUCUAGAAUGAGGAUCCUUCUCUUUUCUCUAUGAGCUUUCAGUCUAAAAACAUGUUAUACAAAUGCAGAAGUAAGCAGCCUCCUAAGAAAAAUGAGUAGUGUUUUCCUUCAUUCAUAAAACUAAUCUUUAUACUGCUUUGCAGACUUGGCAAGAACCUCUGGUUCACAUUUUCAUCCAAAGGCUAGAUUUUCCCCACUAAAGAGGAAUGGAGAAUGAAAUUACCUGCUAAUUCAAGCAAGAAAAAUAUCAGCUCUUAUUCUCAUAAAUUUGUGAAAAUAAAUUACAACUAGAUUGCCCCAGUUCUGAUUUGAAAACAUCUGGUGAGACCACUAGGUAUAGAAGAACAGAGUAGCAUGCUAUUUCCUGACAGGCUGACCUUUACACAAAGAAUGUUCACUUUCAACAAACUGAAAAUUACUCUUACUGAUGGCUUCAGAAUAUCACUGUCUACCUCAGAAAGCGGAAUGUUUUGUACAAAUCAUAAAUAAGUGGCUAGACGGACACUAUUUGGUCAUCAAA